rnacentral:rRNA from 1 species
AACGAACGUUGGCGGCAUGGAUUAGGCAUGCAAGUCGGGGGAAUCCCAGCAAUGGGGGAACCGGCGUAAGGGGCAGUAAGGCAUGGGUACCUACCCCGGGGUUCGGGAUAGCCAUCAGAGAUGGUGGGUAAUACCGGAUGACCUCGUGAGAGCAAAGAUUUAUCGCCCUGGGAGGGGCCCAUGUGAUAUUAGCUAGUUGGUGGGGUAACGGCCCACCAAGGCUGAGAUGUCUAGCGGGUGUGAGAGCACGACCCGCGCCACUCGCACUGAGACACUGGCGAGACACCUACGGGUGGCUGCAGUCGAGAAUCUUCGGCAAUGGGCGCAAGCCUGACCGAGCGAUGCCGCGUGCGCGAUGAAGGCCUUCGGGUUGUAAAGCGCUGUCGAGGGGGAGAAAAGCCGAAAGGCUUGAUCUAUCCCUGGAGGAAGCACGGGCUAAGUUCGUGCCAGCCGCCGCGGUAAAAC